GACGGACGCUGGCGGCGUGCCUAACACAUGCAAGUCGAGCGGGGAUUUAAGUGGAAGUUCUUCGGAAUGGAGAUUUAAAUUCUAGCGGCGGACGGGUGAGUAACGCGUGAACAAUCUGUCCCGGACAGGGGGAUAACACUUGGAAACAGGUGCUAAUACCGCAUAAGACCACGGCCUCGCAUGGGGCUGAGGUAAAAGGAGCAAUCCGGUUCGGGGUGAGUUCGCGUCCGAUUAGCUAGUUGGUGAGGUAACGGCCCACCAAGGCGACGAUCGGUAGCCGGCCUGAGAGGGUGAACGGCCACAUUGGAACUGAGAGACGGUCCAAACUCCUACGGGAGGCAGCAGUGGGGAAUAUUGGGCAAUGGGCGAAAGCCUGACCCAGCAACGCCGCGUGAGGGAAGAAGGUUUUCGGAUUGUAAACCUCUGUCCUAUGGGACGAAGGAAGUGACGGUACCAUAGGAGGAAGCCCCGGCUAACUACGUG
rnacentral:rRNA from 1 species